CAGAUUUCUGUGAAAUGAAG
rnacentral:miRNA from 1 species